UGCGGAAUGCAGCGUCUGGCUUCCCCAGG
rnacentral:piRNA from 1 species